rnacentral:rRNA from 1 species
GACCGUAUGGUCCGCCCGUCGGAUUCAGUCCGCCUGUACGGCGACGGCGACGGCCGCGCAUCCCUCUAGGGAGCGCGCCGGCGCCCGCUCGUCGUGCGGCGGCCGUACUAUCGGCGGGCGGAGCGCCACGACCGGUUCGUCGGCGGCGAGAAACUCCCGGGCAAGGUGACCUUCGUCUCGGCGCAGGAGCAUACAGGCCCGGUGAGCGUCGGCCCGUCGGUGGACCGAGGAAGACCGUCGCGGAGCGGCGUCGACCGUUCGUCGUGUGUUGGCGUUCGACUCGGGGGGACUGGUUCCAGUGCCCUCGGACCGCGCCGGCGCAGCGGCGGGCGCGCACGGCGUCGCGCCUGGGGUCGGUGGCGAAACGGCCGGCAACCUGUCCGACCCGUCUUGAAACACGGACCAAGGAGUCUAACAUGUGCGCGAGUCGUUGGGCGCUACGAAACCCGAAGGCGCAAUGAAAGUGAAGGCCCGGUCUCCGGCCGGCCUGGGUGGGAUCCCGGCGGUCUCGGCCGUCGGGCGCACCACCGGCCCGUCUCGUUCGUUACGUCGAGGAGGCGGAGCAAGAGCGUACACGUUGGGACCCGAAAGAUGGUGAACUAUGCCCGAGUAGGACGAAGCCAGAGGAAACUCU